rnacentral:rRNA from 1 species
UACGGGCAGUUCAAGUGGUAUCCGUGUAUAUUGGGCUUAAAGCGUCCGUAGCUCGUUCGGAAAGUCUUUGGUGAAAGCCCGCGGCUCAACCGCGGGAAGUGCCAGGGAAACUUCCGGACUCGGAGGCGGGAGAGGUCAGGGGUACUUAUAGGGUAGCGGUAAAAUGUGUUAAUCCCGUAAGGACCACCGGUAGCGAAGGCGCCUGACUAGAACGCGCUCGACAGUGAGGGACGAAGGCCAGGGGAGCAAC